GCAGUGUACCCGCGGCAAGACGGAAAGACCCCGUGAACCUUUACUAUAGCUUGACACUGAACAUUGAGCCUUGAUGUGUAGGAUAGGUGGGAGGCUUUGAAGUGUGGACGCCAGUCUGCAUGGAGCCGACCUUGAAAUACCACCCUUUAAUGUUUGAUGUUCUAACGUGGACCCGUAAUCCGGGUUGCGGACAGUGUCUGGUGGGUAGUUUGACUGGGGCGGUCUCCUCCUAAAGAGUAACGGAGGAGCACGAAGGUUGGCUAAUCCUGGUCGGACAUCAGGAGGUUAGUGCAAUGGCAUAAGCCAGCUUGACUGCGAGCGUGACGGCGCGAGCAGGUGCGAAAGCAGGUCAUAGUGAUCCGGUGGUUCUGAAUGGAAGGGCCAUCGCUCAACGGAUAAAAGGUACUCCGGGGAUAACAGGCUGAUACCGCCCAAGAGUUCAUAUCGACGGCGGUGUUUGGCACCUCGAUGUCGGCUCAUCACAUCCUGGGGCUGAAGUAGGUCCCAAGGGUAUGGCUGUUCGCCAUUUAAAGUGGUACGCGAGCUGGGUUUAGAACGUCGUGAGACAGUUCGGUCCCUAUCUGCCGUGGGCGCUGGAGAACUGAGGGGGGCUGCUCCUAGUACGAGAGGACCGGAGUGGACGCAUCACUGGUGUUCGGGUUGUCAUGCCAAUGGCACUGCCCGGUAGCUAAAUGCGGAAGAGAUAAGUGCUGAAAGCAUCUAAGCACGAAACUUGCCCCGAGAUGAGUUCUCCCUGAGACUUAGAGUCUCCUGAAGGAACGUUGAAGACGACGACGUUGAUAGGCCGGGUGUGUAAGCGCAGCGAUGCGUUGAGCUAACCGGUACUAAUGAACCGUGAGG
rnacentral:rRNA from 1 species